CCUACGGGCGGCAGCAGUGAGGAAUAUUGGUCAAUGGGCGCGAGCCUGAACCAGCCAAGUCGCGUGAGGGAUGACGGUCCUAUGGAUUGUAAACCUCUUUUGUCGGGGAGUAAACGCCGCCACGUGUGGCGUUUUGAGAGUACCUGAUGAAAAAGGAUCGGCUAACUCCGUGCCAGCAGCCGCGGUAAUACGGAGGAUGCGAGCGUUAUCCGGAUUUAUUGGGUUUAAAGGGUGCGUAGGGGGGUUGAUAAGUCAGUGGUGAAAUUUAGGGGCUCAACCCCUUCACGGCAAUUGAUACUGGCGUUCUUGAGUGUAGGUGAGGUAGGCGGAAUGCGUGGUGUAGCGGUGAAAUGCUUAGAUAUCACGCAGAACCCCGAUUGCGAAGGCAGCAUACCAACUUCCGACUGACGCUGAAGCACGAAAGCGUGGGUAUCAAACAGGAUUAGAUACCCCAGUAGUC
rnacentral:rRNA from 1 species